rnacentral:rRNA from 1 species
GAGGGUCAUUCGAAACUGGCAUGCUAGAGUACGGCAGAGGUUAGUGGAAUUCAAUGUGUAGCGGUAAAAUGCGUAGAUAUAUUGAGGAACACCAGUGGCGAAGGCGGCUAACUGGACCGGAACUGACGCUGAGGCACGAAAGCGUGGGUAGCAAACAGGAUUAGAUACCCUGGUAGUCCACGCCGUAAACGUUGAGAACUAAGUGUUGGGGUGACCCAGUGCUGAAGUUAACGCAUUAAGUUCUCCGCCUGGGAAGUACGAUCGCAAGAUUGAAACUCAAAGGAAUUGACGGGUCUCCGCACAAGCGGUGGAGCAUGUUGUUUAAUUCGAAGAUACGCGAAGAACCUUACCUGGGCUUGACAUCCCUCGGACCGUCCUAGAGAUA